rnacentral:misc_RNA from 1 species
CGAGGCGACUCGCUGUGGUGGUUCACCGAGAUCUAUCUCCACAAACAGCAGGCGAUCCGCGGCCUGUUCGAGAUCGUGGCCGCCUUCGAUCGGCUGAUCGCGCAGGAAGCGCCGCGCCGGAUCGACGUCCAGAGCGGCGGGCCGUUCGUCCGUUACGUCGCCGCCCGGAUGGCGAAGCGGCGCGGACUGGCCGUGUCCGGGACGACGCUUCCGCCGAUGUUCUGGCGCAGCCGUCUCCUGCGGCUGGACGCACGCGGCCGCUGGCUGCACGCCAGCGCGCUCGGCUCGCGCUUGCGUUCUCGCGCCUCGGUCACGUUGCCGUCGAACCCGGCGGUGGCGGCCUUCAUCCAUCGCGCAUUCUGGCGCGAGGAAUCGGGCGACGGUUCCGCCGAGGCGUACAUCGGACCGGUGUUGCAAUCGCUCGAACGUCGGCUGCCUCCGGGCGAAGUGGCGUAUGUCAGCCUCGGCCCCUCGGAGAACUUCAGCGCACGCCGGUGGUGGCACGCGUUGCGAAGCGACGCCGAGCCGUCCUCCACCUUCCCCGUCGAGAUGUUCUCGACGCUGUCGGACCUUCGCGAGUCACGAACGAUGUGGAGCGCACGGCACGCGAAUCGCCGCGUGCUCUGGGCCAGCGCCGCGAUUCGGGAGCAUGCGGUGAUCGACGGCCUCGACUGCUGGCCGGUGGUCCGCGAGGAGCUCGCGGGCAUCGCGUCCCUGCAAUGGCCCUGGUCGGUCCGCGCGAUGGACGAAGCCGCCGCCGCGCUCGACGCGCUGCAGCCGCGAUCGGUCCUGACUUAUGCCGAGGCCGGUGGCUGGGGGCGGGCGCUGAUGCUCGAAUGCCGCCGGCGCGGCAUCCCAUCGGCAGGCCUUCAGCACGGAUUCAUCUACCGGCACUGGUUGAACUACCUACACGAACCCGACGAGAUGAAACCCGAACCCGGCAACGCCGACGAUGGCGGGUUUCCGCGGCCGGAUGUCACGGUGCUCUUCGACGAGUACGCCGCGCAGCACCUGACGACACGCGGCAAUUUUCCGGCUGGGACCCUGACGGUGUCCGGCAGUCCCCGGCUGGAUGCGCUGGUCCGAUCUGCGCGGGCGGUGGACCCCGCCGAAGCGCGAAGGACGAACGAAGGAAUGGUGCUCGUCGUCGCGAAAUUCCGUGAAGCGAAGCGUCCGCUCGCCGAAUUCCUCGAGGCGGCGG